GACAGAGGGUGCAAACGUUGUUCGGAAUUACUGGGCGUAAAGCGCGUGUAGGCGGUUAUGCAAGUCGGGUGUGAAAGCCCCGGGCUCAACCCGGGAAGUGCAUUCGAUACUGCGUAGCUAGAGUACUGGAGAGGAUGGUGGAACUCUCGGUGUAGAGGUGAAAUUCGUAGAUAUCGAGAAGAACACCGGUGGCGAAGGCGGCCAUCUGGACAGAUACUGACGCUGAGACGCGAAAGCGUGGGGAGCAAACAGGAUUAGAUACCCUGGUAGUCCACGCCGUAAACGAUGGGUGCUAGGUGUCACGGGUAUUGACCCCUGUGGUGCCGAAGCUAACGCAUUAAGCACCCCGCCUGGGAAGUACGGCCGCAAGGCUAAA
rnacentral:rRNA from 1 species